rnacentral:rRNA from 1 species
GGCAAACGCUGGCGGCGUGCUUAACACAUGCAAGUCGAACGGAAAGGCCCUGCUUUUGUGGGGUGCUCGAGUGGCGAACGGGUGAGUAACACGUGAGUAACCUGCCCUUGACUUUGGGAUAACUUCAGGAAACUGGGGCUAAUACCGGAUAGGAGCUCCUGCUGCAUGGUGGGGGUUGGAAAGUUUCGGCGGUUGGGGAUGGACUCGCGGCUUAUCAGCUUGUUGGUGGGGUAGUGGCUUACCAAGGCUUUGACGGGUAGCCGGCCUGAGAGGGUGACCGGCCACAUUGGGACUGAGAUACGGCCCAGACUCCUACGGGAGGCAGCAGUGGGGAAUAUUGCACAAUGGGCGGAAGCCUGAUGCAGCAACGCCGCGUGCGGGAUGACGGCCUUCGGGUUGUAAACCGCUUUCGCCUGUGACGAAGCGUGAGUGACGGUAAUGGGUAAAGAAGCACCGGCUAACUACGUG